rnacentral:lncRNA from 9 species
UGAAAUGAGCAAUAGGCAGUCGGCGAUUACUGACUAAUGGGAUUUUAUUCCUCUCUUGGUAGCCAGGAGGAUGAAGCAGUGACUUUGGCCGCUGUGGAAGGGUUCCACCUGCUACGUGUCCCCCAGCAUGUCUGCUGAAAGCCUUCAACCCUUGGGGACACCAUCUCCUCACCCGUCCUCAACUUUCACCCAUCCCACCCCGUCCUUAUCUUCCGAGGAGGAGGGAGCUACUGAAGGAGAUGAAGAGAGUUCAAUGGGCGAAUCUUUAUCUCCUGAAAAGGACGAGUCUCCGGAGGAAGACCUGUACCUGGAAGAGGAGGAAAUUUAUCUCAAAGGAAAGGAGUGCCUGUAUGAACAAGCAUAUCUGAAGGCCCAGCAGUAUCUGCAGAAGGAAAAGUUUCUGGAAGGGGAAGAGGUUCUGUAUGAAAGGUAUCUGCCAGAGGUUGGCAGCUUUUCCUUAAGCUGAGUUUUAUUCUUUGGCGACAAUUCUCCUUGGGCUGUUGCUCCACAUGGCAGACGUGCAUUUAUUCAUAUCAGCCCACACGGUAUCUUCCCUUGAUGUGACAAUGGCAUGGCCAUAACCAACCAGGAACAGAAAGUUAAACCUCCAGGUCCUCUGCAUCAUCUUCACGUGGACCUAGAAACAGAGCUACACUAGCUUUCUGGAUCCCAUUCUGUUACCGACUGCAAGCAUCGCGGGUGGCUUGAAUUUUUAAAACCCAAUCUGACUGCACCCAACCUACAUCCUAAAAGCCAGGUGAUUUCUGCAGCCAGGCGGGUGUUUUAUGUUCGCCUCCUCUCCUGCGAAUUAGAUGGGUCACCCUCCAUUCCUACCACCCUCCCAAAAGGAGUUAGUCCAUUGGAGAGGAAGAUCCUCUAUGGCUGGGAAAUUCUCUUUUCUGUGUGCCUCUACCAUUCAGCUCCUUCUCAGAAUCAUUAUGUUCCUGCUGUUCAAGUACCAAGUGUAAUUCUAAUACUGAGAGAUAGCAUCCAAGCCAUUUCUUUUGCACAGUAUGAAUCAAGCAUUCUUAACAUGUCCCUGCUCUUCGUCAAACCUUCGCAAAUAUAUUACCCACUAGAGUAGGACAAAUACAAUGCUGUCAAGUGAAUAGAACUGUGUAUAAAGCAAAAGCUUUGAAAAUAAAUGCCCUGCUAGAAAAAAUUGGAGAGGCACUGCAAAAACUGUAGGGGAAUACUAAAAUGCCCUUUAAGACACAGGGAAGCAUGUCUGGGUCUACGAAAACCCAGGGUACCAAGCCAGACUGCACAAAAGAGAUUAAGUUAAGACAGG